UUGAAUUGAAGAGUUUGAUCAUGGCUCAGAUUGAACGCUGGCGGCAGGCUUAACACAUGCAAGUCGAACGGUAACAUAAAGAAGCUUGCUUCUUUGAUGACGAGUGGCGGACGGGUGAGUAAUGCUUGGGAAUCUAGCUUAUGGAGGGGGAUAACUACGGGAAACUGUAGCUAAUACCGCGUAAUAUCGAAAGAUUAAAGUGUGGGACCUUCGGGCCACAUGCCAUAGG
rnacentral:rRNA from 1 species